GCAAACUUGGUCAUUUAGAGGAAGUAAAAGUCGUAACAAGGUUUCCGUAGGGUAAGAAUUUCCCCAUUCCACUCUUUUCAACCUUGAAUUCAUGCUAACAUAUUUUCUAGUGAACCUGCGGAAGGAUCAUUACUGAGAGUUUGGCCUUUGGCCCUCACCCUCUACCCUUUUGUGUACCUGUUUCGUUGCUUUGGCGGGCCGUCGAUUCAUCGCCGUCGGCCUUUGGGCUGGCGAGUGCCCGCCAGAGGUUUUACCACGAACUCUGUCACGAAUCUAGUCUGAACCCGAAAGGGUUUAUUUGAAAAUAAAAUCAAAACUUUCAACAACGGAUCUCUUGGUUCCGGCAUCGAUGAAGAACGCAGC
rnacentral:misc_RNA from 1 species